rnacentral:rRNA from 1 species
CAGCCGCCGCGGUAAUACGUAGGUCCCGAGCGUUGUCCGGAUUUAUUGGGCGUAAAGCGAGCGCAGGCGGUUAGAUAAGUCUGAAGUUAAAGGCUGUGGCUUAACCAUAGUACGCUUUGGAAACUGUUUAACUUGAGUGCAAGAGGGGAGAGUGGAAUUCCAUGUGUAGCGGUGAAAUGCGUAGAUAUAUGGAGGAACACCGGUGGCGAAAGCGGCUCUCUGGUCUGUCACUGACGCUGAGGCUCGAAAGCGUGGGUAGCGAACAGGAUUAGAUACCCCCGUAGUCCCUGUCUCUUAUACC